CCUACGGGACGCACCAGUGGGGAAUCUUGCGCAAUGGGCGAAAGCCUGACGCAGCGACGCCGCGUGGGGGAUGAAGCUUCUCGGAGUGUAAACCCCUUUCGACCGGGACGAAUGCCCGCAAGGGAGUGACGGUACCGGUAGAAGAAGCCCCGGCUAACUACGUGCCAGCAGCCGCGGUAAGACGUAGGGGGCCAGCGUUGUUCGGAAUUACUGGGUGUAAAGGGUUCGUAGGCGGUGUGGCAAGUCGGGAGUGAAAUUUCUGGGCUUAACUCAGAACCUGCUUCCGAAACUGCUGUGCUGGAGUGUGGGAGAGGCGCGUGGAAUUGCAGGUGUAGCGGUGAAAUGCGUAGAUAUCUGCAGGAACACCCGUGGCGAAAGCGGCGCGCUGGACCACUACUGACGCUGAGGAACGAAAGCUAGGGGAGCAAACAGGAUUAGAUACCCUUGUAGUC
rnacentral:rRNA from 1 species